rnacentral:lncRNA from 1 species
AGCUGCACCUCCACACAAAGUGAUAUUAUCAAUUUAUCACUCUGCUUUCGUGAAGGGAGUUCAAACCAACUUCAAGAUUGAACCAUCUUUUGGAGUUGAAGCCUCGCAGCUUUAUCCUGAUGUCAAGUACACUACAGUUGAUGAGUACCUCAAUCAGUUUGUGUAACCCUUCGCUGUUUCCAGCUGCAGCUUGCAGGAUCUUGGACUGUUGGUAAAUAAAUAAUUGGCUUGUUGCCAUCUUUGGUUUUAUAUGUAAAAAUUAUGGUUGUUGGCCUUACUUUCUUCUGGUUGUCCAUGGAAUUUGUUAGACCAUAUUAUGUUUGCUAUGUCAGUGAUCAAAUGAAGUAGACCAUGUACUUGAUUUGAGAGUAGUAGUUAUAAAGCCAUCAUGAUCAGGUGGGUGCGUGGGUUGGGCUUCUAUUAGGGUGCGUGUGUUGGGGGGCUUCAGGGGCUUGUGAUAUGGGUUCGACAGCCCCUAACGGGCAGUCAUUAUAAAAAUGAUUAUAGAGUUACAAAUCUAUGUAAAAAGCAAAAAUUAAAAGUAAUUUAUCAAUAAAAAUAAUUAAAAUUAAUAAAAAGUAGGUAUGAUAUUUCAGAAAUUAAAUUAAAGAUAGCAUUCUAAAGAGUUGGAUAAUCCUUCAACUAAACUAAAGAUCUAGUACAUUUGAGAGCAAAUUUAAUUAAAGAAAAGGAUAAGGAAAAACAAUAGAAUAAUAAUAUUAAAAAAUUGCAAAUCUUGGUCUUUUUUUGUUACGAUGAUGUUGAAUUCUUAUAAAUUUAAUCUUAUCUAUAGAGUUAUUUAGUUACUGUAUGUCAAAAUUUCCUAUAAAGAUGAAGAAAAAUUAUAUUAGGAGAAUAUCCAAAUCCGUUUAACUAAUGCAUCAUCAACAACAUGAGUACAACAUUUUCGAAUAAACAAAAGAAACUCGUUAUAUGUGCGAACCAGUUCCAAAAUAAAGAGCAGACUAUUGGAAGGAGACAAAUACGACAAGAAGAACAAAACAUUCUACAGUUCCUACAUGAGCCCGCAACAAUUAAUUAUUAACUCGACAUUCAUUACACUUUUUCUUUAAUUUGAAAGAAACCAAAAAUAAGAUAAAAUUGACUAAGAAAUAAAAAAGUGACCAAAAUCUUUUUGAAGUUUUGCCAGUUCAGCCAUGCACGCUUAUCUUUAUUCACUUUUUCCUUUCUUUCCUUUCUUUGCUGAAGCCUUCACAGAUCCUUUACCUUUCUGAGCCUUGCCAAUUUUCCCCUUCUUCAAACCACCUGGCCUUGCUGGAUCCACGUGUCCUUGCAUCCUUUUUCAUUCGUGGAUCAACAAGAAUCUCCCCCUUUCCAGCUCUCUCUUGAACUCCUUGCUUUGCGACCAUGUAUUCUUUUGUAGGCCUUUUGGGUAUAAUUGUUCAAUUUGAUUCCGCUUCGAACGAUCAGAGAUGUCCGCUUAGUCUGAUAUGACAUUUGCCUUCUUGCGAACCUUCUCAAGAUUUCGCAUGGCACCGUAUCUUUCGAGCUUUGGUCUUAGCCACGCUCUUGGCAGUAAGGGUGGGCCAUUCGGUUUUGGGAUAAACUUUUGGUUUCGUAUCGGUUUAGAUUCAAAAAUAAUAUAUAAAAAUAAGUAGAUUUUAAUGGAAAAAAUCCAAACUGAAACUGACCUAUCGAUUUCGGCUCGGUUUCAGUUCAGUUUCGAUUCUCCUAAUAGUUUUAUUUUGCCUUAUUGACUUCCGGUCAAUGACACUUUUGAAAAAUUUACAAAAAAAAAAAAAACUGGCCAUAACAAAAUUUCUAUAUGCAAAUAUUUCCUAAACAUUGGGCUAUACUAAAUUUUUUUCAAAGGUAGGGAUCCAAACGAUAUUAUCCCUCUACUUCAUCUUCAACCUUCGUCACUAGGGAUGGCAAAAUCCGAGUCCGGGUCCGGGUAUAGCCAUUCCGGAUCCGGACCCGAACGAAUAUUUUCUAUACCGGACCCAGAAAUAAACCCGUAUUUUUCCACUCCGAGUCCGAUACGGGUUCAACCCGGAAAAAUUCGGGUUCCCAGACUGCGGGUUUCUAACCCGGAUUGAUGAAUCCAAUUGAAAAAAAAAAACUAAAUUUGACUAAAAAAAUCAAAUAGAAAUACAUAUCUAGGAUUUCAACAAAUCAAAAAAAAAUUAUUUCAUCUGGAAACUAAUUAACAAAAACAACAAUUUUGUUUGGCUGCCCAGAAUCAGCAACCCAAUGUGGCGGCUCGUUCAAAACAUUAGUGUUUUCAACAGAUUUUGGGGUAGGAAAAGCCAAACCUAUCUAGAACAAUGAAUUUGUAUUUUUGGGGGAGAUGGGGUACCUCACUGGUUUGUUGUAUGCGGUGCAGUGUAUCUGAAAUUUGGGGGAGGUGAGAAGGGGAGAGGGAGUGGUAACAAUGGUGAAAGGUCAAAACCAAGAGAGAUGUCCUUCAAAAUGAGCUCACACAUGUAAAACAGUGAAAUAGAGGUUAGAGGUGAAGCCGGGGUACCCCGGCAUUCACACUCCGACGCUCAAGUUAGCAAACUCAAGCUUUUAUGACAAAGAGAACUGGCUAGCCCUCUGUAAAUUAGGGUUUAAGGUUCAAGGAAACCUAUUUUUUAGAGUGUGAGUGUUAAUGGUGAGUGAGAGACCUCUUGGAGAAUGAAACCCAGGUGCCUUUAUAUAUGGAGUACCUCAGCUGCCACGUGGCAUACCCUUUUUAGCUAACGUCUUUUUUCCUUUUUAUGAUUUUUUGGCCGUUAUGUGCAUGUUCGCGGCGUAUCUCAUCUUUUGGAAAUGUGGCGUGCGCUGGAGAGUGGUCCAGGGUACCUCUGCAGUAAUUGUCGGGUAGGCGGCUGAGGACCACUGUCCUUGGGACAAUGUCCUUCACUUUUGGUAGAGGUGACAGGCGGCUGUCCCCCCUUUUAGCACGACAUUUUUGAUUCCUAAUUCUGACAAAAUCGAAUAAUAUCUUUUAAGAGAUGGAGACGUUUCUCAUGGUAGAUAUUUUCGGAGGAUUCUCUGGCAUCCGAUCAGCCGGGUUCCUCCAGUUACGCGGGGUACCUCAAUUUAUGUGGGGUACCUCUAAUUGUGCGGGGUACCUUUAUUUGCGCAAGGUACCUUGAAUCAUGCCAGGUACCUCAGAUUAUGUGAGGUAUCUCUAAUUGUGCGAGAUACCUCUAUUUGCGCAAGGUACCUUGAAUCAUGCUGGGUACCUCAGAUUGUGUGGGAUACUUCUAUUUUCGCAGGGUACCUUGAAUCAUGUUGGGCACCUCAGAUUGUGCGGGGUACUUCUAUUUGCGCAGGGUACCUUGAGUCAUGCGAGGUACCUCUAAUCAGGCCAGGUACCUCUAAUCGUGCUGGGUACGUCUAAUCAUGCGGGGUACCUCUAAUCAGGCCGGGUACCUCUAAUCACGCCGGGUACCUCUAAUCAUGUGGGGUAUCUCUAAUCAGGCCGGAUACUUCAGAUUGUGCGGGAUACCUCAGAUUAUGCGGGGUACCUCUAUUUGCGCAAGGUACCUUGAAUCAUGUCAGGUAUUUCAGAUUGUGCGGGGUACCUCAAAUUGUGUGGGGUACCUCUAAUCGUGCGGGGUACCUCUAAUCAUGUCGGGUACCUCGGAUUGCACUGAAGUUAUUUCAUUCGUUGACACGUGGCGAUAUACUAUCUUUCCUAUUUUUCCCUCAAACAACAUCCCCCUAGUUUCUUUUGGCGAGAAGUUUUAGAGGCAAAAGAAAUUUACAUAAAAAGUAGGAGCGACACGUGGCGAUAUGAUGUUUAGCUCGAUGGGUAACUAAAUAGAGGGCGCCUCUAGGGGUACCCUGAGAACCCAAAAAGGGAAGAUGAGUUCCCUUUCCUCGGAAAUGACUACCACUUUGGACAUGUUGGAAAUGACAGAGCUAAUUGAUCAAAAAAUUUUCAUCUAUUUCUGGGGAAGAACACCAAAUACUGGUAGAAGGUAUCGUUAGGGUACCCCACCAUUAUCCAUAGUUUGUUUUCUAGUGACUGCCAUGGAUAAAUCGCUCUGGUGAAGGCUUCAAUGCAUUCUUUGGGCAUUUAAGAAGCAAUUAUUUAAUUAUCUCGGGAUCCACCUUAUUUAAGGGUACAUUUCCUUCAUGUUCUUCGAAGACAAAAAUAAAAUCAUAGGGCUUCCUUCCUUGCAACUUCAGAGGUACCCUCGACAGAAGAACAUAGUCGACAAUGCUUUUAAGCGUAUCAUGAUCGAGGAAUGGAGUGCUGAUCUGGGGUUGGUGGUGCCAAGAGUGGAGAAGAUGGUAGAUGAACCGGCUAUCUUGAAGGCGAUUGACGAUAGCGGGGCUCCUAACACAUCUUGGUCUGAAAGCCCAUUGAGAUUAGCUGAGGUACCUCAGAUGAAGUAUCUAUAAGGUACCCCUGAUACUAACCCUUGUGUUUUUGCUACUUUUAGCACUUUUGUUGAUCCCCUCAUCUUAAGGGAUGAAGUUGAAGAUAACCAUCCUGCUGUGUAACCUUGUUCGGCAUUACUGACAAGGUGUAUGGGGUACCUCGGGUACCCUAAUGCUUGGAUAUCCCUUGAGCUAUCUAUUACUUCAUGGCGGAAUAACCCAAUUUCAUCAACCAUAUGACGAUUCCUCCAGAUAUGCUUGUCGCUUAUCUUAAGCUUUCUUAGGGUUUCUCCCGGUGUAUCUGAGGAAUAACUUUCUGGCGUGGGGUACCCUUAAUCAGCGUAUGACGAUUUUCAUAGAAAUGCUUACCGCAAAUCUUCACAAAACUUGUGGCGGUUUCUGUUGAGAGAUGAUGGAAAACCUCAUGAUCCACCAUUCACUCUAAAUCAAAUAUGCAAGACAAAUAGUAAUAAAGGUGACUGCUCGCCUACCCUUAUGCAAAAUAGUGGAAAAUCUCAUGAUCCGCCAUUCGCGUGGAAUCAAAUAGACAACAUAGAUUGAGAUAAAUGUAGCUGCUCACCUACCCUUAUGCGAGAUGGUCGAAAACCUCAUGAUUCAUCAUUCGCAUGGAAUCAAAUAAACAAUAUAGAUUAAGAUAAAGGUGGCUGCUCGCCUACCCUUAUGCGAGAUGGUCGAAACCUCAUGAUCCACCAUUCGCAUGGAAUCAAACAUGACGAAAAAAUAAUGAUAAAGGCGGCUACUAGCGUGCCCUUUUGCUGGGUCUACUGUUGAGUAGAUUAUCAUGAUCGGAGAUUGGUCAUGUACACCUCGGGUACCCUGGAAUAAGGUACCUCGGGUACCCCGGAAUAAGGUGAUCUCUGGAUUCCAUCUUGCUUCAUAAUAAACAAUGCUCAACGACAUAUAUAAAAUUAGUUUAAUGGUGAACAUAUUAUUAUAGCAUUUCAAGCUACUCAUCCAUAUCAAAAAAUCGAGAGGCAAAUAAAAGAGCACACAUUAUCAAACUUUGUAAAGAAAAUACAUUCACAAAGAGUGGCGAUAUGGAUCAUUAUAUGACACUAUUUUAUUAUCCUAAGGAGAAUAUAGGGGAUCCCGAGAUCACUUGUUAUUGUCAUUAAAGGCUUAGGAAACUGACCAGUUUGGGGUACACUCUGGAUACCCCAUAUAGCCAAGCAUAUAUUUCAAACAUACAAGCAUUAAAGAAAACAAACAAACUAAGUAGAAGGGGGUAAAGUGUUAUCACUUUACUAGUAGUAUGACUUUUCUUUGUUGUUCUUCUGAAAGGUUGGAGCCUAUUUUGACGGUCUUUGUUGGAUCGGUGGCGCAAAUUGAGACUGAAAUUGGGUCUUCAACCAGGGUACCUCGUUUUUCAUCUUUGGGUAUUCAAGGAUCCAAAUGUGCCUCCAAUUCACAUUUGGGCUUAAUCUGGUCCCCUUAGGGUAUCCCCGCAUAACUUCAGAGUAACUAGUUAUGGGGUACCCCACCACCGAGGCCUCGAUGGUGACUCUUGCUGCUUUGAUGGUGGCGAUCUUAGAGGUUGGGGUACUCGUGAGAUACCCUGAGUUUAAACCCUCGUCCCCGCGGGGCAGCCCGUGGAGGGCUCCGAGUUUGGGGUACCCUUAGUAUUGGGGAUUCGGUUUUCUUGGGCUUCUUCUUGUUCUUUGUGACUUCGGCCUUAUUUUCUUGGCACUUCAAAUGGCAUUUCUCAUCCAUCUCCACUUACUGCAACGCCCGAGAACGGGCUUCCACAUAUGAAAGAGGGCGCUUCUUUUGAAAAGAACGUCAUACAUUGCCCAACCGUAAAUUUUUCUCAAAAUGGGUCAAUGUGUAUUGGUUUCCAAAUGCUCCGGUUCGCAGCACCUCUUAGUGGAAACGACUCACAUACUCUGUCAAAGGCUCGGCUUCCCCUUGCUUAAUAAAGGCAAGUUUGGAGACUACUCUAUCUUGAGUAGAAGCGUAGGAAAAUUCUUUAGUAAAUUCGGAUAACAAUUGGUGUUUUCAACAGAUUUUAGGGUAGGAAAAGCCAAACCUAUCUAGAACAAUGAAUUUGUAUUUUUGGGGGAGAUGAGGUACCUCACUGGUUUGUUGUGUGCGGUGCAGUGUAUCUGAAAUUUGGGGGAGGUGAGAAGGGGAGAGGGAGUGGUAACAAUGGUGAAAGGUCAAAACCAAGAGAGAUGUCCUUCAAAAUGAGCUUCACACCUGCAAAACAGUGAAAUAGAGGUUAGAGGUGAAGCCGGGGUACCCCGGCGUUCACACUCUGACGCUCAAAUUAGCAAACUCAAGCUUUUAUGCCAAAGAGAGCUGGCUAGCCCUCUGUAAAUUAGGGUUUAAGGUUAAAGGAAACCUAUUUUUUGGAGUGUGAGUGUUAAUGGUGAGUGAGAGACCUCUUGGAGAAUGAAACCCAGGCGCCUUUAUAUAUGGAGUACCUCAGCUGCCACGUGGCGUACCCUUUUUAGCUAACGUCAUUUUUCCUUUUUAUGAUUUUUAGGCCGUUAUGUGCAUGUUUGCGGCGUAUCUCAUCUUUUGGAAACGUGGCACGCGCUGGAGAGUAGUCCAGGGUACCUCUGCAGUAGCUGUCGGGUAGGCGGCUGAGGACCACUGUCCUUGGGACAAUGUCCUUCACUUUUGGUAGAGGUGACAGGCGGAUGUCCCCCCUUUUAGCACCACAUUUUUUAUUCCUAAUUCUGACAAAAUCGAAUAAUAUCUUUUAAGAGAUUGAGACGUUUCUCAUUGUGGAUAUUUUCAGAGGAUUCUCUUGCAUCCGAUCAGCCGGGUUCCUCCAGUUACGCGGGGUACCUCUAUUUGCGUAAGGUACCUUGAAUCAUGCCGGGUACCUCAGAUUGUGCGGGGUACCUCUAUUUGCGCAGGGUACCUUGAAUCAUGCUGGGCACCUCAGAUUGUGCAGGGUACCUCUAUUUGCGCAGGGUACCUUAAGUCAUGCGAGGUACCUCUAAUCAUGCGGGGUACCUCUAAUCAGGCCGGGUACCUCUAAUCACGCCGGAUACCUCUAAUCAUGCGGGGUACCUCUAAUCAGGCCGGGUACCUCAGGUUGUGCAUGGUACCUCAGAUUAUGCGGGGUACUUCUAUUUGCGCAGGGUACCUUGAAUUAUGCCAGGUAUCUCAGAUUGUUCGGGGUACCUCAAAUUGUGUGGGGUACCUCUAAUCGUGCGGGAUACCUCUAAUCAUGUCGGGUACCUCGGAUUGCACUGAAGUUAUUGCAUUCGUUGACACGUGGCGUUCUGCUAUCUUUCAUAUUUUUCCCCCAAACAAUUAGUAAAGAGAGCUAAAGAACUAGCUUUAGUUGCGAGUAGGAAGUCAAGAGUCAAGGAGCAGCCAAAGCACUUUUAAUGGUGAUGGGAAAGCUGGAGGGGUAAUGCAAAUAAGUUUACGUUGAUUGGAUAUUCAGAAGAAGUAAUACGCUAUUAAAAGCAACAAGUUUUCCAAAAAGCCAACAAAGACAGACACCAUCACACCACCCCGCACUGGAUGAAAAAAGAUGAAAUCAUGAUAAGUGGCAUCGAGUAAGCCACGUUCUCUCUCUCUCUCUCUCACUCGCACUCGCACACACUGUUACUAAAAUGACCAAAAAAUAAGAUUCCCAUCAAAAUAUUUUCGAGUAUCAUUCUUAAAAGUGACGGCGGCUGAUGAUGAUGAACACAGCCGCGAUUGCGAUUGGCGAAGGCGGCGUUCAACCCGUAUCACAGCUGGUUAUCGGUCGCGGCGGAAAAGAUAAGGAAACGACAGUUGAUAAUGAUGAUGAUGAUGUUGAACAGCCGCGAAGAUGGGUAAGUGAUGCGACGAUGAUUUGAUUUGAUGAAGAUGAGCUGAAGAGGGAAUAAGAGAGGAAAUGUUUGUGCGGCUGGGAAAGUGUAAUGAGCUGCUAGGGCACCAUUUGGGUUUUUUUGCUUUCCUAUUUAUAUUAAAAAUCAUUUUUAAAAAUUAAUAUAUAUCCGGGUCUGAGUUUUGGAUGUACGGGUUUACCUAGACCCGAACACACGCGGGUUUUUAAAAUGACAUCCGGAUCCAGAUUUUAUUUAAUCCGGUACGGGUUGAACCCGGACUGGAAAAUCCGGGUUUCAUCUAGGUCCGGGCCAGGUGCGGGUUGAAUUGCCAUCCUUAUUCGUCACUUAGCAGCUACCACAAUAUCGAAAUGGAAAAACUAAAAAAGCACCAUAGGAUACGCAUAUCCACACAUAUAUAAUAAAACUAAAUAUUAUUAAUAAUUUAGUAUCUAUAUAUAUAUAUAAAGCUGGGACUUGAGGAGGUGAUGUGGCAUCACCAUUUCUCAUCUUUGUAUAUUCUCUAUUAUCUAAUAAAUAGAGAAAUUUUCUUUUAGAUUUGGUUUUUCAUCUUCUCAUAAUUAAUUUGAUUGUUUUUACACAAUAACAAUUAUGUAAAGAUUUUAAUGAAGCAUAUUCUUUGUAAUGAACAUCCAAGGGGGAGUGUUAUGAAUUUAUUAAAAUAAAUGUAGAUGUUCAUAACAUAUAUCUCUUAGUCUCCCCACUAUCUCCCAUUAGCAACCUUUAACUUCCUUAUAACUCCCAUUAUCUCACAAGGAAUUAUGAUCCAUAAUUUUUCAUUAAUUUCAUGGAGUGAUUAUGUAACUAUAAAAGGAGAGCUUAUCUUUUUGUUUUGUACACACACAAUUGGAAUAAAUAAAAUCACUCUAUAAUAUAUUCUCUCAUUUUAUUCUUUAUCUUGUGUUGCUUCUUUAUUUGUAUUGUUGGCUAAUAGCUUUUUUUGUUUUUUAUAAGGCUGCCUCAUCUUAAAAAAAAAUUAAUUCAUAUUUUUUAUCAGUUUCAUCAAGUGUAAAGUAAGAAUAAAAAAAAGGCAAACAUGAAAUUAGAAAAGACUAAAGAGCUAUUUAAAAAAAAAAGCCAUUUAAAAAAAGGAAAAUAGCAAGUUAUUUGGCUAGUUAACUGGCGACAGAAGUAAUGGAAAGAAGCAACAACGGCAGCGGCAGGUCGACAGCGAAGAUUCAGCAGCACCGACCACCCACAGACUGGGAUUUGAUUGCAAAGUUGGGACUUAGGAUUUAGGUUUCUGGCUGCUGAAACUGAAAGCGAGAGAGUAGAAAGUAGAGACUGAGAGUGGUGCAAACAUGUGUAAUUGUGUGUGUGUGUCUAUAUAUAUAUAUAUAUAAUGUGAAAUUACAAAAAUGCCAUUAUAUCAGUUCAAUUCGAAUUUUGUAACUUGUGAUCCGAAAACUGAACCAAACCGAACCAUUUGGUUUGGUAUUUAUAUAUUCGGGUUUUUAAUUUAAAAAACUAAAUUGAAACUGAAAAAACUAAACCGAACCGAAUGUUUUUUUUUGUUUCGGUUCAAUUCUGCCCAUCCCUACUUAGUAGGCUGGGCAUCAAUUUCUUUGAAUUGUGCUUUCAUUGCAGUAAUCUCCUUCUUGGUAAUAGGUUUAAUUGCUUGCUGAUGCCUCAUUUCCUCUGGUAAUAACUAGUCUAACAAGCCAUCAUCGUCAAACAUGUACCUAUUAUAAGCAUCAUCCAGAAUUUGCUCUCUUUGCUUUUUGCUUAGUGUCUUCUUUGCACAAGCUAUUAUCUCAGCUUUUGUAUCAAUAUCUUUAUCUUUUGAUUCACUAGAGGAUGAAUCAUCACCGGAAUAGAGUGGUGAAGGCCCCAUAGAUUAGUGUGGUUAAGUUCUAGUGUAGUUUUGGUUUUGAUUUCAGUAUUAGGAAAAUGAAGCGUAUGAAAUUUACUAAGCUAACAUGCUUCACAAAAGUGCUUUAAUACUUGACUAUGAAUACUUGAAGAGGAUAAAUGAGGAUAAAUAAAUUUAAAUAUACAUUAGAUUUUGAGGGUUGGGAUGUCAAAACUUUUGGUGAAAAAGAGUUAGUACAAGCAUUUUAUUGAGAUUGAAAACAUUUCUUAAGAUGAUCAAUGCUAGCUACAAAAUUGGAAUGAAAAAAAAGGCAACAUAGACAAAGGUUUGUUUAUUUGAUUGUAAGAUAGAAAAGACUUGUAUUUAGGUUGUGGAAAGGAUUUGAGCAGCAAUUUAUACAACCUUUUCUCAGCAAAACCUUCAUCUUCAAUGAAUCCUUCACAAAACAAAUAGAUCCAAGAAAUUCGACAAAUAAAUUGUUGUCAACGGUAAGUUUUGAAAUGCUCAAUAGAUUCUUUGUAAUGGAUGGAACAAACAGUACAUCCUUAAGUAAAAUAUGUCUUAUAUUAUCUUUUUUUAAUUCUUUUUAAAAAAAUAAGUGAAUAAUAGUAUGUCAAUCUCAAAUAUCAAUAUGUACAAUUUUUAUUUGUGUAAGAAUUUGCAUCCAAUAAUCAUCAAUACAUAAUUGUCUUUUAAUUGAAUGGUUCUCACCUCCCUUCCAAACUUUGAAAAGGUAAAAUAAGAUCAAUCAUGUCAGUGGCAAUUAAUAUAAAGAUUACUUUUCUUAUUUGUAGUAAUGUCCUCUGAUUAUUUAGCUGAUUUUCAAGCUACACAUUUAUUCCAUUUGAUGUUGAUAUUAGUAAAAUUAAUGUAAUAUUUAAAAAGGAAAAAAAUCCGUUGAGCUAAAAGCCGAGUAUAAAAUUGAACCGGACCCAAACCAGAAACGCACGCCAACAACAUGCUUGCGUCAGUCGGCCCAUGCCCAUAAACCCACCAAGCCCGAUCCAAAUAGAAAAAUGAAUUGGACAUCCGAGAUAGCAGAAACAGAUAAGUAACGCUCGCGCUAUCCCCAAUCUCAUAUCUUUAACGGUAUCCAGCCAACAUCUCAAAGUGUUCAAUUUGUUUUUAAACCAAAAAAAAAAAUUCAAAAUUUUCAAGCGGAAUUUGGGAAGAUGGCGACGAAAAGCAAGAUUCUGGUUAUCGGCGGAACCUGAUACAUCAGUAAAUACUUAAGGUGCGUUUGAAAUUGAGGUUGAACAACUAUAACUUUAAAACUGCAGCACUAAAAUGUUUGGUAAACACUAACUGUUGUAACUUAAAAGCUAUUUAAUAUAAUUUUUCACUUGUAUAAUAAAAAAUUUAUUAUCUUUAAUAUUUUUGUCAAAAUUAUUAUUUAAAAUAUAUACUGUAAGAGAGAUUGUAACAUUUUCAAUCUUUGGUUUGAUAUUCUGGAAGAAAAUGAUUUGCCGUUUAUGGAGAAAAAGGCUAACCGUUUAAUUCCAAAGAGCAUGUUUUCUGUUCUAGAGAAAACGGCUAACCGUUUUGAGAAAAUGGCUAACCGUUUUGAGAAAACGGCUAACCGUUUAAUUCCAGAGAGCAUGUUUUCUGUUCUAGAGAAAACGACUAACCGUUUGGAUAAAACGGCCAACCAUUAAUUACAGAGAGUAACUUAUUUGACAUUCUAGAAUAAAACGGCUCACCGUUAUUGAGAAAACAGCUAACCGUUUAUUUUCAGAGAGCGUGUUUUUGCGUCAAUUGGAAAAACGGUUAGCAAGCUUGGAAAUUUCAAUUGUCAAUCGAUGCAAACUCAAACCAAAAGAGUAUUUUUUUGAAGAAGUACCAUUUUUAAUGGUUGUAUUCUUUCAAAUAAACAUCUUCUUUAUUAAAAAUAGACAAACAAUUAGAUCAUAAUCAGAUUUUGCAGGUUUCAUAUAUGUUAUGGAAAUACAAUCUUAUUUGCUAGAGAUUGUAUUCAGGAUUUGAUAUAUCUUAGGGGUAAUUUGCCAUUAAAACUCUAUAGCAAACCAAGAUUGGUGAGGGCAAAUAAAACCUUAAAGAAAAGUGUGCAAACACGUCUUAAAUCCUAAGAAAUUUUCUUUGUUCUUUGCCUCCAUAUUCUUAAACUUUGAAAAUUCACCCAUCAAUCUUUAAGGUUUUAUUUUGAUGCAAAUGGAGGCUGAGAAGAGUUUGACGUCAUUUCUUAAUCCUAGUGUCCAUCUCGAUCGUUUUGAUGAAACUAAUUUCACUCGUUGGAAGGGAAAAUUAUUCUUUCUUUUUACUGUUCUUAAAGUGGCAUAUGUUCUUGAUCCGAAAUUGAAACCAUUUCCAGAACCAAGAGAAGAUGAUACCGAAGUUGUUAAGGCUGCAAGGAAACGUCGUAAAGAUGAUGAAUUGAUGUGCCGGGGUCACAUACUCAAUACGCUUUCUGACAUGUUAUAUGAUCUCUACAAUUCUAUGACUUCUCCGGUGGAAAUUUGAAAUGCUCUUGAAUACAAAUACAAAACGGAGAAAGAAAGUACUGACAAAUUCCUUGUCUCUAAAUAUUUUGAAUUUAUUAUGGUAGACACACAAUCCAUUCUUGAUCAAAUACAUGAGUUACAAAUUAUUGUUGCUAAGCUUCGAGAGUUAAAAGUUGAAAUUUCUGAAUCAUUUCAAGUUGGGGCUAUUAUUGCUAAAUUGCCUCAAAGUUGGAAUGAUUAUAGAAAGAAACUCCUUCAUAGUAAAGAGAACAUAACUUUAGAAGAAUUGCAAAAACACUUGGUAAUUGAAGAAGAGACUAGGUCUCGCGAAUCCAAGGAUAAGCAUGAUUCUACUAAAGUUAAUGUUGUUGAAGCUAGUAAAUUCUCAAAGAAUUUUAAAGUCAAGAAUGACAAGAAAUUCAAGAAGUCCAGCACAUAAAAGUUUUCUGGAAAUUAUUUCUUUUGUGGUAAGAAAGGCCAUCGCCAAAGUGAUUGCAGAUUCAAGAAGAAAAAGGAAGAAGUGAAUUCCUAUAAAGCUAAUGUUAUUGAAAACAAAUCUGAAGAGAUUUGUGCUAUGGUUUCUGAAAUGCAAAUUGGCAUGAUUACCGAAACCAAUAUGGCUGAAACUAAGUCCUAUGAUUGGUGGCUCGAUUCGGGUACAACAAUUCAUGUUUGUAAUAAUAAGAAAAUUUUCUUAUCAUACAAAGAAGAAACGGAAGGACAAAUGGUUCUCAUGGGGAACAAUAAUGCAGCCAUAAUAGCAGGGAAAAGAGUAGUUGAGAUCAACUUCACUUCUGGAAAUAAAGUCACAUUGUAUAAUGUCUUUUAUGUACCUUCCGUUAGGACUUAUCUUAUUUCUGCUAGUUGUAUAUGUAAGCAUGGGCUUAAGAUUGUGCUUGAGGGUAAUACUUGUAUUCUCUCAAAGGGUAUUCUUGUGAUGGAAUGUACAAACUCAACAUUAAUAAUAAUAAUAUCAAGUUAGCUUAUAUUGUUGAGUCUUGAGAUGUUUGGCUUGCUAAAUUAGCACAUUUGAAUUUUAGAUCUUUGAAAUACAUGUCUGAGCAUGGUUUGAUUAAUUGCAAUGAUGUUAAAGGUCAUAAGUGUGAAAUUUGCAUCCAAGCUAAAUUAACUAAGAAACAUUUUCUUAAAGCCGAACGAAAUACUCAAAUAUUGAAUUUAAUACAUAUCGAUAUUUGUGAGUAUAAUGGCGUUUUAACAAGAGGAGGUAAAAAGUACUUUUAUCACUUUUAUUGAUGAUUGUUCUAGAUACACUUAUGUGUAUUUACUUAGAACAAAAAAUGAAGCUUUUGAUAAAUUUAAAAUUUUCAAAGCUGAAGUUGAGAACCAAAAAGAUAAGAAAAUCAAAGUGGUUCGUAGUGAUAAAGGUGGUGAAUAUUUCUCAAUUGAAUUUAAUAAUUAUUGUGAAGAAUUUGGAAUUAUUCACCAAAGAUCAGCUCCAUUUACUCCUCAACAAAAUAGUUUGGCUGAAAGAAAGAAUAAGAUCUUCACGGAUAUGAUAAAUUCCAUGAUCCUUAAUGCAAAACUACCAAAUAAUUUGUGGGGGGAAGCAUUACUCACUGCAUGUCAUAUUCAUAACAGAAUUACAUCUUUGAAAACACAUGUAUCUCCUUAUGAAAUUUGGAAAGGAAGAAAACCAAACUUGAUGUAUUUAAGGGUUUGGGGUUGUUUAGCUUUUUAUAAAAUACAUGAUCCUAAAUCAUCAAAGUUAAGUGCUAGAUGUAUAAAGAGUGUUUUCGUAGGAUAUGCUGAAAAUUCCAAGGCUUAUAGGUUGUUAGAUUUAGAUUCUAAUGUGAUUGUGAAAUCUAGAGAUGUUGAAUUUAUUGAGAAUAAAUUUCAACAUGAUUCUAAUAUUGAAUUAGAAUCAAUUAUUGAUCAACCAUAUGUUAAUACUCCUAUUACCUCCACUAACAAUAAUAAAAGGAAAGACUCUAUGACAUCUUUCGAACCAAUGAGGAGUCAACGUGAAAAAAAAGAAAAGAGUUUAGCUCCGGAUUUUAUUUCAUCACAAGCACUACUCUUCUUGGUUGAAGGGGAUAGAAAGAAUGUACUUAACAAAGUACCAUUGUUGUUAAAUAUUGAAAAAGAUCCAAAGACAUUUAGCGAGGCUAUGUCUUCUAGAGAUGCUUCUUUUUGGAGAGAGGCGGUAAAUGAUGAAAUGGAUUCGAUUAUUUCGAAUCAAACAUGGGUCUUGGUUGAUCUUCCUCCAGGAUCUAAACCAAUUAGCAGCAAAUGGGUAUUUAGCAGAAAGUACAAUAGUGAUGGUUUUUUGCAAACUUUUAAGGCUAGAUUAGUAGCCAAAGGGUUUAAGCAAAGAAAUGGUAUUGAUUAUUUCGAUACAUAUGCUUCGGUAGCAAGGUUAACUUCUAUAAGAGUGCUAUUUGCAAUUGCUUCAUUGAACAAUUUGUAUGUGCAUCAAAUGGAUGUUAAAACCGCUUUUUUUAAUGGUGAUCUUGAUGAAGAAAUCUAUAUGGAACAACAUGAGGGAUUUGUUUUGCCAGGAAAUGAGAAAAAGGUAUGUAAGUUAGUCAAAUCACUUUAUGGUUUAAAGCAAGCACCAAAACAAUGGCAUGAGAAGUUUGAUUCGGUAAUUUUAUCUCAUAGUUUUAAGCAUAAUAAUGCUGAUAAAUGUAUAUAGUUUAAAUUUACGAAUGAUUUUGGUGUGAUUAUAUGCUUGUAUGUUGAUGACUUGCUUAUCUUUGGAACAAAUAUGCAAGGAGUAGAUGAUACAAAGAAGUAUUUAACUUCACAAUUUAAGAUGAAAGAUCUUGGUGAAGUAGAUAUUAUCUUAGGUGUCAAAGUGAAGAAAUAUAGUAGGGGUUACUCGUUGUGUCAAUCUCAUUAUAUAGAGAAAGUGCUUCUUAAAUUCAAUUAUUUGAAAUUUAAAGAAGCUAAUACCCCAUAUGAUUCUAGUAUUAAAUUAUUAGAGAAUUCAGGCCGAGUAGUAGCACAACUAGAAUAUGCUAGUGCUAUUGGUAGCUUGAUGUAUGCUAUACAUUGUACGAGGCCUGAUAUAGCAUUUACAGUUUGCAAAAUGUCAAGAUUCACGAGUAACCCUAGUGUUGAACACUGGAAAGCAAUUGGUAGAAUACUUGAUUAUCUUAAAAGGACCAUUAAUUUGGGUUUGUUUUAUAGUGAUUAUCCUGAAGUACUGGAAUGAUAUUCAGAUGCUAGUUGGGUAACCAAUACAAGAGAUAAUAAAUCCACUUCUGGUUGGAUUUUUACAAUUGCUGGAGGAGCGGUUUCUUGGGCUUCAAAGAAACAAACGUGCAUAACUCAUUCAAAAAUGGAAAGUGAGUUUAUAGCACUUGCAGUUGCAGGCAAGGAAGCAGAAUGACUAAGAAAUUUGUUGUUUGAUAUAAUGUUGUGGCCACAACCGAUGCCAUCUAUUUCUUUGUACUGCGAUAGUGAAGCUACAUUGUCUAGAGCUUAUAAUAAAGUGUAUAAUGGAAAGUCUAGACAUAUUAGCUUGAGACAUGAAUAUGUGAAACAAUUAAUAGCAGAUGGUGUUAUUACUAUUGUUUAUGUUAGGACUAAUAAGAACCUAGUGGAUCCUUUAACAAAAGGUCUUACAAGAGACUUAGUUAAGGAUACAUCUUUUGGAAUGGGAUUGAAACCUUUAAAUAAUAAAGUCACCAACGACGGUAACCCAACUAUGUAGUAGUUGUACCGCUACUCCAUAGUUAAAUGGGUAAUAACAAGUUGUUGUUAUGUGACUAGUUUGGCACCAAGUAAUAAAUAAUCACAUUCGAGAUAUUCGGUGCAAAUAACUACGAGGUUGAGGUUGAGUAUUUACUUUUAAUGAAGUUCAAGUCUUAUAGUAGCUAAAGACAUGAUUUGAAACUUCACUUAAGUGAACAUAAGAAAUGGUGCCGUUUCUAACAAGAUCAUGGUUUAAUCUAGUAAAUGUUCAUGAAUCCAAGAUAGAGCACAAGGCCGAAAUAGUGCUAAAUAUUGGAACACAACUUUGAAAAUCUGGGAUAGCUUGUGAUGUAUCUCCGGUAUUUACUUAAGAGACAAAGUUUAAUGCUUAGCACACUAUUGUCUUGUAAAUGCUUUGAAAUACACUCACUAAUUAAAGGUUAAAAUCGAAAGAUAUCUUUUUGUAUGUAUAAGUUUAUCAUUAAUAAAUCUGAAAAAUAUUACAAUCUAGUGGGGGAUUGUAAGAGAGAUUGUAACAUUUUCAAUCUUUGGUUUGAUAUUCUGAAAGAAAACGGUUUGUCGUUUAUGGAGAAAAUGGCUAACCGUUUAAUUCCAGAGAGCAUGUUUUCUGUUCUAGAGAAAACGGCUAACCGUUUGGAGAAAAUGGCUAACUGUUUAAUUCCAGAGAGCAUGUUUUUUGUUCUAGAGAAAACGACUAACCGUUUAGAUAAAACGGCCAACCGUUAAUUACAGAGAGCAACUUAUUUGACAUUCUGGAAUAAAAAGGCUCACCGUUAUUGAGAAAACGGCUAACCGUUUAUUUCCAGAGAGCGUGUUUUUUGCGUCAACUGGAAAAACGGUUAGCAAGCUUGGAAAUUUCAAUUGUCAAUCGAUGCAAACUCAAAACAAAAGAGUGUUUUUUUGAAGAAGUACAAUUUCUAAUGGUUGUAUUCUUUCAAAUAAACAUCUUCUUUAUUAAAGAUAGACAAACAAUUAGAUCAUAAUCAGAUUUUGCAGGUUUCAUAUAUGUUAUGGAAAUACAAUCUUAUUUGCUAGAGAUUGUAUUCAGGAUUUGAUAUAUCUUGGGGGUAAUUUGCCAUUAAAACUCUAUAGCAAACCAAGAUUGGUGAGGGCAAAUAAAAUUUUAAAGGAAAGUGUGCAAACACGUCUCAAAUCCUAAUAAAUUUUUUUUGUUCUUUGCCUCCAUAUUCUUAAAAUUCGAAAAUUCACCCAUCAUAUACAUACUACAUAUUAUUAAUUUUUGUUUUAUAACUAUAGUUUUUUUUUUACCGCAGCUGUAGUUUAAAAACUACAGCACCUCAAUCCCAAAAAAGACCUUAGUGGAAUCGAGCGCAAAAGCCGAUCACCCAACAUUCGCGCUUGUGAGAGACUCCACUCUCUCCACUCCUUCCAAAUCCAAAAUCCUCGACCGUUUCAAAAAUCUCGGCGUCAAUUUAGUUCCUGUGCGCCACUCUUUUAGCUUUCCAAUUUUCCCGCCAAUUUGCUUUUAUUGUGAUUAAUUAAUUAAUUAAAGUAAAGAUUUUAUAUUAUAAUUUUGUUUGCAGGGAGAUCUAUACAGCCAUGAGAGCUUGGUGAGUGCAAUAAAGCAAGUGGAUGUGGUGAUAUCAGCGAUAGGUCGCACUCAAUUAGUUGAUCAACUCAACAUUAUCGCAGCAAAUUGCGAUAACUAAUUACUUGGGAUUUUAAAGAAGCUGGAAAUGUUAAGGUACUGAUUAACCUAAGUAAAUGCGUUAACUAAUUACUUGGGAUUUCAAAUUCAAAUGCGUGAAUUGUUCUCAAAAUUGAUAUAUGUUUAUUAGUCAGAGAUUCUUUCCUUCAGAAUUUGGAAAUGAUGUUGAUCGCGUGCAUGCCGUUGAGCUAGCAAGAACAUCAUUUGCCACCAAGGCUAAAAUCCGCCGAGCUGUUGAGGCUGAAAGAAUUCCAUACACCUACGUAGCUUCCAAUUUCUUCGCUGGUUUGUAUCUUUCCAGUUUCUCACAGCCUGAAGCCACAGCUCCUCCAAGGGAUAAAGUGGUCAUCGUAGGUGAUGGAAAUGCAAAAGGCAAAGCGCUUCUGGAUACAUUUACUCUGUACACGCAAUGUGUGGUUACUGUUUGGAGAUAAAAAAGGAGAUUAAUUAAUAAAGAAAAUGAAAUUAUUGAGGGAUUUGCUGAAGAGUUGCGUGCACUCCUCAUUUUUCUCCACCACUCAUCUUACUUGCAAAAUGCAAUGACCAAACUAUCCUCGCCAAAGCCUAGACAUUUACUUGUGUUCAAAGGCCAUUUAAGGGAGACAAGUACAAAAAAUUAUAAAGGAUAGUGAGCAAAAGAAGAAAAUGGAAGGAGGGGAGAAUAAAAAAGGGGAGUGGGGCGUUAUCUAGGCAGGAUUUUUAUUUUUAUUUUUUUCCUCUCUUCUCCAUGGCAUCUCUUUCUCUCUUUCUCCCACUAAGAAAUUCUUUCUUUUACACUCUAUUUUAUUUUUCUGCAAAUUAUGCAAAAAACUUUUGGUUUUAAGGCAAUAUUUAUUAAGCCACAUGAACUUAAAAAAGCAUGAAUAAGGGGAUGAUUUUAACACAUUAAUUCACCAACAUUAAUUGGAAAAGAUCAGUUGCCACUACGAAUCAGAGUAAUUUCUUCGGCAAUAGCCAAAUAUUGAUAUUUGAUCUUGACACUAGAGUUAAAUGAAUGUAACUGGUUUUGUCAUUUGAUCCCCAGCAUUUUUUAACAAGGAAGAUGAUAUUGGAAUCAAUUCUAUCAAAGCGGUGGAUGAUCCAAGAACACUGAACAAAAUACUUUACAUCAGACCCCGUUGCAGUAUCUACUCAUUCAAUGAUCUUGUGUCUCUGUGGGAGGAAAAGAUUGGCAAAGCCCUUGACAGGGUCUAUGUUACAGAGGAACAACUUCUGAAAAACAUUCAAGGUUAGUUAGAACUAUCACUUUAUCAAGUGGAUAGAUGUAACUGACCGAUAAUGGAAAAUUUUUUCCUUCUCCAAAAUGCGAUAGAAUCUAAUCGGUUUCAACAAUCUCAAGAACAUCUAUUCCUGGUUGUGUUGUUUGAAAUCUGUAUGUAUCAGUUUUCUUUCUAGAUCUCAGAUUGCUCGCAAGGAUGUCAAGUUUUGAUGAUGCUUGCCUCUUUUCCUGUGUUUACAGAAGCUUCAUAUCCACUCAAUAUGCUAUUACCUAUUGGGCACUCUGCCUAUGUCCUGGGAGAUCAGACCAACUUCGAAAUUGAACCUUCAUUUGGAGUAGAGGCAACAGAGCUUUAUCCAGAUGCCAACUACACUACUGUGGAUGAGUACCUCAACCAGUUCAUAUAAACCUUCUGAGAUGAGCAGCAGGAUCCUAACCAAAAAUUGGGUGGUUUCCAUCCCUGAUUCUAUAGUAUAAAGAUAGCGGCUUUCCCUGCUUUUGCCAGUUCAAUGAAGUUUGUUAGAUGAUGUUAUUUAUACUAUACUAGCAAAGAUCAAGUUGCCUUUCUUGUCAAGAAGCCAAGCUCUGGCAUUGGUUUAUGCUAGUUUUUCACACUAAUAUUGGUAUUCACUAAUUUUUUUUUUUUUCAUUUCACACCUCCAUCAUCAGUUGAGAUACCCUCUUGUAUGGUACUAACUUUGAUUUUCCUUAUGCUUCACUUGCUGUCUCUGCAGAUUCGUAAAAGAUCAUUUAUGGAUAAGAUCAUAACAUCAAUAUGAUACAGUAUGCAUUGAGAACUCCCACAUGAGUCUUGUUCUAGUUCUGGUUAGACAUGAAACAUGUUACAGUUCCAUAACUUGAGACAUUGUCAUUCAACAAUUAGCAUCGCAUUAAAACAGUGGCCAAUCCCUAACAGCUACCUUUUGACUCUUCACAUUUUUUUUCUGCAUUUUAUGCGUAUUAAUUAUCCAGACCUAUACUUACUCUUCUCAGCUUGGCCCGUUGGACAGUGAGUGAUGAAACAGAAAAUUUUUCAUGUUUAUUACUUUUCUUGCAUUCAAAAUGAUAAAACCGAAGAGGUUGUUGCAUGCACGUCAUUUGUUAGUAGGGGUAUCAAUUUAUGAACGUAUGAAGUAUCUCUUCUGCACUGGCAUCCUCCUUAACUGUCAGUAGGAUCACAAUAAGUCGACCAACCAUCUACCGUAUGGAUUAUCUAUAAAUUGAAAUUGGUGUGUAUUAUGGAUCUGUCACUCUGCUGCUUCUGUUUUCUUUUCUAUUUUUACCAAGAAAGAAACAUUGUUAAAACUGAAUGGUUGUUAUCUCGUCUUGUUGUAAUGUUGUGUAUGCUUUCUAGAAAAUAAUGAAGUGCCAAAUAUGAAAAUACUAGUGGCUACCUUACCAUCCUUAAUAAGUUGUCUGAUUGUCACCGUCAACAAUCACUCUCAGCAACUCAUAAUCCAUUUAAGCAUAUUAUAAAAUAAUCAAUUUUGUAUUUGCACCAACUUUUAGUUUUAAAUGACAAUUUCGUUGAUCCCCACACUUCUGUACUAAUCAAAUCCACUGAAACUGGACUUUUUUUUCUUUUUUUUUAUAAUUACAUCGAUUGCAUUGGCUAUUGCAGGGAAAAGACUGCCUCUACAGGGAACUAAACUUUCAGAAUUGUUCUUAUGAGGGUUUGAAUAUGCUCUCCUACUAGGUCAAUGGCCUAUUGGUUCGAGACCAUUCACAAAGAAAGAAAUGAGUUUUGCUUGUAUAAAUGAAAGAAAUCCAAAUGAUAACUAAUGUAUAGUGGUACAUGAGAAAAAUAAUUUCAGCCCUUGUGUAAAGUCAAAAAGAGAAAAUAUUAAAAGAAAGGAUAAUGUCAUUGAGUUGGUGAAGUGAAAGAAAAUGAAAAACAUGGGAUUUAGUCAAACUUAGUGUCCCAAUCAGCAGAAAAAGGUUUUAGAAACUCACCUCAAGUUAAGCCAACUAUUAGGAGCUUUAUUUAACCAUAGUUGCCUCAACAAUGACUGAUUCUCUUCCCCCCACCCACAUUGUAGCUUUCUAAUGUAUAGUACUCCAAUACUAAACGGGGGCUACCUCUACGCUUGCAAAUGUAAAUGAAAUUGAGUUCAUGACGCACAAUGAAGUGAGCAAAAUGAGUUGAGAUCUGAGAAUAUAUUAAAGAAAAUAUGAACCGAUGAAUUUUGGUUAAAAAAAAAAAUGCCGGUUCUUCAAGACCUGCGUGUAUUGCGUAAAUUUUGUUAGGAAAAGGAAAGCAUUUUGUCUAAAACGCACUAAAUCAGAUUCAUUUGCUUGAUAUCUAAUAAGGGUGAAUUAACCACUCGGCCAUAGCAAUUAGGGGUGGGCAAAAUACCCGACCCGACCCGAUUCGAUUCGAAAAAAAUCGGGUUCGGAUCGGAUCGGGUUGUAAAGAAAACCCGAUCGGGUGCAUUUGUGUCAACCCAAUCGGAGCAUGAUCGGAUCGGAUCGGGUUGACCCGAUCGGGUUGACACAAAAUAAAAAAAAAAUUAAACCUCAAAUACACACCCCACACACACAGGAACAUAUAUACGCCACACACACUAGAACACACACGCUGGAACACAUACACACCACACACACUGGAACACAUUACACAUACACACCACCCACGCACUGGAACACACACAUUGGAAUACACACACUGGAACACACACACACCACCCACGCCCUGGAACACACACACCACGCCCCCCACGCACUGGAACACACACACUGGAACACGAAGUGAACACCACACACACUGACACACCCACAGCCCCCUGCCGACCAGCAACAUAAUCGCCCACACCCACCCACAAGCCACAGCCUCCCUCUCUCGCAUCCCACUAUCGACGGAAACAAGCGACAGUUAUACAGCCCACUCCAACCGAGGCUACUCCGUGAGAAUGGUGACCCGAUCUACUGAUCUACUGCUACCAAGUACCGGAUCUGCUGCGCCACCUCCACGCCUCCAAUCCUCCGCCAUCACCCGAUCCGAUUCAAGCUCCAUUUGUCUGUUGAGUUUUGAAAGCUUUGGGUUGUUGCUGUAAAUGUGUAGAUCGUGUGUGUGUAAAUGGGUAGAUUGUGUGUAUUUUUUAUAUCCGACCCGAUCCGAUCCGAAUUAUAUUCGGAUCGGGUCGGAUCGGGUUAUAGAUUCGGGUUGAAUUCGGAUGAGUUCUCAUCUAACCCGACCAACCCGAAACCCGAUCGGGUUGAUCCGAACCCGAUUUUACCCACCCCUAAUAACAAUUCAAAUCCCCACAAAAGUAUUAUGGGGGCUAAUUUUCUUCUUUAAUUAUAACAAAUAAUUGAGCGGAGGAUAAGAAUCGAACUGAAAAACUAAAAAAAAUGAAUCCGGCGAUAUUUGCGAACCGGAAACGAGCCAGCGUUAUGCUUAUGUCAUUUCAGAGAUAUCAACAGUCGUGCUUUCAGUCCUUAAACCUAGAAACAUUAUGGCUUUUCUCCUUAAACCUCAAGGGCAUUUUCAUCCUUUCACUCAAGCGUGAAACUGCAUGUAAGCACUGCUUCGCUUACACGCUCCAUGCACAUUUAAAGGCACCACUGUCGGAUAAAAAAUAUCUAUCCAUUUGAUCAUUUCAAAACAAAACGAAAAAAAAAAAAAAAUCUCAGGAAUUGAACUGAACGAGUCUCAGAAAUGGCAUCGAAAAGUAAGAUUCUAUUCAUCGGCGGGACAGGGUAUAUCGGUAAAUUCACUGUCGAAGCGAGCGUAAAAGCCGGCCACCCGACGUUCGUGCUCGUGAGAGAAUCCACAAUCUCUGGUCCUUCCAAAUCUCAACUCCUCGAUCACUUCAAAAACCUCGGCGUCAAUCUCGUCAUAGUGCGUUUUCAUUUUUCUCUUUUCUUAAUUUUUUAUUCCGAUCAUUUUUACACGUCGAAGUGUAGCAUCUACUACUUAAUAUACAUAAUGAUAUUAUUAUUUUUUAAUUUUUUUGGGUUGCUGUUAUUAUUAUGCAGGGAGAUGUGUUGAAUCACGAGAGUUUGGUGAAGGCGAUUAAACAAGUGGACGUGGUGAUAUCAACGGUCGGUCACACUUUAUUAGCUGAUCAGGUCAAGAUUAUUGCUGCCAUUAAAGAAGCCGGUAACGUUAAGGUAUAGCAUAAUUAAUAUUGUCAAUAAAAUUAAAAUAAUUAAUUAUAAACCAAUGGCAUGGACGCAAUUAAUUAAUUGAUGUUGAAUGUGAUUAUUAUUAUCCAGAGAUUCUUCCCUUCAGAAUUUGGAAAUGACAUUGAUCGAGUCCACGCCGUUGAGCCAGCAAAGUCUUUAUUUGCCAUAAAGGCGAAAAUCCGCCGAGCCGUUGAGGCUGAAGGCAUUCCGUAUACUUACGUAGCAUCGAAUCUCUUUGCUGGUUACUUCCUUCCCAAUUUGUCGCAGCCUGGGGCCACUGCCCCACCUAGGGAUAAAGUUGUCAUCUUAGGCGAUGGAAAUCCAAAAGGUAUGAAUUUAGGUCAUUGCUUAUAGCAAAACUGUUGAAAUAACCAUGAUUAAGGCUCCGUUUGUUACUACGGUGUUAAUUUUAUGGCCUAAAAUUGCUGUAGAAUGGAAGGUGUUGCAACCUAACUUACGCUCUGUUCGGUGUGGUUGUUGCAUAGCUGUAACUUAAAGUUAACUGAAAAGUGUUUGAUGAAUAUUUGCAGACUUAACUUUAAACCGAGGUGAUUUUAUCCAACAUUUGUCUGAUUAAAACUUAUGAUCCCUAAGAAGUUUGUCAAAAAAAAUAUAUAUAUAUGUAUAUAUAUUCAAUGGAGCACCUCAAUACUAAAUGAAUCCAUGUAUUCAACUUUGGAUAGACUUUUAAAUAAUGACCAAACACUUUAGCUGUUAAAUUGCCACAUCACAGCUGCAACACAAUAAUUCCAAACGUCUUCAUUGCAAAAUAGUUGAAUGAAUCUAAGUCCACUGGCUUCGUCAUUUGAUUUUCAGCGAUCUAUAACGAGGAAAAUGAUAUUGGAACCUACACCAUCAAAGCGGUUGAUGAUCCGAGAACCUUGAACAAAAUCCUUUACAUUAAACCCCCUGGUAAUAUUUACUCAUUCAAUGAUCUUGUGUCCUUGUGGGAGAGAAAGAUUGGCAAAACCCUCGAAAGGGUGUACCUUCCGGAGGAGCAAGUCCUAAAGAAUAUUCAGGGUUAGCUAUAAUUCUUACUUUUUAAAUUUUAUCAAAGAGAGCAAUAAAUUUUGUGCCUUAUUGAUACUGUCUUCCCGAAAAUGUUGCAGAAGCUGCACCAGCUGCACCUCCAGUCGACGUGAUAUUAUCAGUUCAGCACUCUGUUUUCGUGAAGGGAGAUCAAACCAACUUCGAGAUUGAACCAUCGUUUGGAGUUGAGGCGUCGCGGCUUUAUCCUGGUGUCAAAUACACUACAGUUGAUGAGUACCUCAAUCAGUUUGUGUAACCCUACUCUGCUGAGCUGCAGCUUGCGGGACCUUAGGAAAUAAAUAAUUGGCUUGUUGCCAUCUUAAUUUUAUAUAUAUAUAAACAUUAUGGUUGUUGGUUGUUGG